UACGUAGGGUGCAAGCGUUAAUCGGAAUUACUGGGCGUAAAGCGUGCGCAGGCGGCUUGGUAAGACAGAUGUGAAAUUCCCGGGCUUAACCUGGGAACUGCAUUUGUGACUGCCAGGCUAGAGUGCGGCAGAGGGGAGUGGAAUUCCGCGUGUAGCAGUGAAAUGCGUAGAUAUGCGGAGGAACACCGAUGGCGAAGGCAACUCCCUGGGCCGGCACUGACGCUCAUGCACGAAAGCGUGGGGAGCAAACAGG
rnacentral:rRNA from 1 species